GCGAGAGUGGCGAAACUGGCAGACGCGCUGGAUUUAGGAUCCUGUGCCUUCGGGCGUGGGGGUUCAACUCCCCCCUCUCGCACCU
rnacentral:tRNA from 1 species